rnacentral:rRNA from 1 species
ACGCACGCUGGCGGCGUGCUUCACCCCUGCAAGUCGCACGGAAAGGCCCUGCUUUUGUGGGGUGCUCGAGUGGCGAACGGGUGAGUAACACGUGAGUAACCUGCCCUUGACUUUGGGAUAACUUCAGGAAACUGGGGCUAAUACCGGAUAGGAGCUCCUGCUGCAUGGUGGGGGUUGGAAAGUUUCGGCGGUUGGGGAUGGACUCGCGGCUUAUCAGCUUGUUGGUGGGGUAGUGGCUUACCAAGGCUUUGACGGGUAGCCGGCCUGAGAGGGUGACCGGCCACAUUGGGACUGAGAUACGGCCCAGACUCCUACGGGAGGCAGCAGUGGGGAAUAUUGCACAAUGGGCGGAAGCCUGAUGCAGCAACGCCGCAUGCGGGAUGACGGCCUUCGGGUUGUAAACCGCUUUCGCCUGUGACGAAGCGUGAGUGACGGUAAUGGGUAAAGAAGCACCGGCUAACUACGUG